UACAGGGGGUGCAAACGUUGCUCGGAAUCAUUGGGCGUAAAGCGCACGUAGGCGGUCCGUUAUGUCGGAUGUGAAAGCCCUUGGCUUAACUGAGGAAGUGCAUCCGAAACUGGCAGGCUAGAGUACUAAAGAGGGUCGCGGAAUUCCCGGUGUAGAGGUGAAAUUCGUAGAUAUCGGGAGGAACACUGGUGGCGAAGGCGGCGACCUGGGUAGAUACUGACGCUGAGGCGCGAAAGCGUGGGGAGCAAACAGG
rnacentral:rRNA from 1 species